CACGUAGGAUGCAAGCGUUGUCCGGAUUUACUGGGCGUAAAGGGCGCGCAGGCGGCAAUGUAAGUCUCACGUGAAAGCCCCCGGCCUAACCGGGGAGGGUCGUGGGAGACUGCAUAGCUAGAGUACAGCAGAGGAUAGCGGAAUUCCAGGUGUAGUGGUGAAAUGCGUAGAUAUCGGGAGGAACACCAGUGGCGAAAGCGGCUAUCUGGGCUGAAACUGACGCUGAGGCGAGAAGGCUAGGGUAGCAAACAGG
rnacentral:rRNA from 1 species